ACUUGUCUGCAGUGCAUGCCGGGCUUAAUAUUUCCUUGAACCAAUGCUCAUUGAGCAUGGGCUUGGUACAUUUCCUGAUAGGUGUGAGCAUCUCGCGUUAGAUGAACCCGAAGUCAGGCUGCCCUCGCCCACCUGAACCCCCGGUUCAGGAUGACGGUCCGGUGGCACUUGCAGACACCUU
rnacentral:other from 1 species